GGGGAUAUAGCUCAGUGGUAGAGCUUUCGACUUCAGAUAGAGAGGUCCCUGGUUCAAAUCCGGGUGUCCCCU
rnacentral:tRNA from 1 species